rnacentral:misc_RNA from 1 species
AACGCACCUUGCGCCCCUUGGCAUUCCGAGGGGCACGCCUGUUCGAGUGUCGUGAACUCCUCCACCCCUACCUUUUUCGAAGGGUAUCGGGCUGGGAUUUGGGAGCUUGCGGGUCCCUGGUCGAUCCGCUCUCCUUGAAUGCAUUAGCGAAGCCCUUGCGGCCUUGGUGUGAUAGUCAUCUACGCCUCGGCUUAGCGAAUUUAUGGGAGUCGCUUCCAACCGUCCCACUGGGACAAUCACUACCAACUUGACCUCGAAUCAGGCGGGACUACCCGCUGAACUUAA